rnacentral:rRNA from 1 species
AGGACAAACGCUGGCGGCGUACCUAAGACAUGCAAGUCGAACGGGCUGCAGAUCUUCGGGUUUGCAGUGAGUGGCGAACGGGUGAGUAACGCGUAGGAACCCGCCUCGACGUGGGGGAUACCACUUGGAAACAGGUGCUAAUACCGCAUGUGGUCGGAAGAAGAAAGGCUCGAGUAAUCGAGUCGCGUUGAGAGGGGCCUGCGUCCGAUUAGCUAGUUGGUAGGGUAAAGGCUUACCAAGGCGACGAUCGGUAGCUGGUCUGAGAGGAUGGUCAGCCACACUGGGACUGAGACACGGCCCAGACUCCUACGGGAGGCAGCAGUGGGGAAUAUUGCGCAAUGGGCGAAAGCCUGACGCAGCGACGCCGCGUGGGGGAUGAAUGCCUUCGGGUUGUAAACCCUUUCAGCAGGACGAAGCGAAAGUGACGGUACCUGCAGAAGAAGCGCCGGCUAACUACGUGCCAGCAGCCGC